rnacentral:rRNA from 1 species
UACGUAGAAGACUAGUGUUAUUCAUCUUUAAUAGGUUUAAAGGGUACCUAGACGGUAUAAUUAGUCUUUAACAGGAAACGGUUAGUACUACGAGUUAUAUAUGAGGAGGUGAGUAUUUGUGGAGUAGAGUUGAAAUUCUUUGAUACCAUGAAGACUGGUAAAGGCGAAAGCAACCUUUUAUCUAAUAACUGACGUUGAGGGACGAAGGCUCGGGUCGCGAACAGG